UAAGGCGACGAUAUCGGAGGUGCUCCACCCGAUUCCAUAUCGAACUCGGAAGUGAAAUCCUCCAGAGCCGAUGGUAGUUCUUCGGAGCGAGAGUAGGUCGUCGCCCUAU
rnacentral:rRNA from 1 species